rnacentral:lncRNA from 1 species
CUUGUGUACAAUUUGGAAAUUAGUAUGGCGUUCAUUAUCACUGAACUAGUAUAUAUUUGUUUAGGGGCCAGUUGAAGGACGCCUCCGGGUGCAGGAAUUUUCUCGCUACAUUGAAGACCUGUUGGUGACCUUCUGCUGUUGUUUUUUUUCUAUGGUCGGGUUGUUGUCUCUGACACAUUCCCCAUUUCCAUUCUCAAUUUUAUACUAUAUUCUAUGUGCCUGUACCAAGUCAGGAGCCUGUAAUUGUGUUUUGCUGUUUGUUAUAUUUGUUUUUCUUUUAAUGUUUUGCAUAGUUUGUUAAAAUAUUGUGUCAUAACACCACUUUCCUGUUUGGUGCACUCAAAUUUAGUUCAAUUCCUCCACAUUCUAUAUGUGCCUGUCCAAAGUCAGAAGCCUGUAGUUGAGAGUGGUUCAGGUUGUUGUUGUUUCGUGUACUGUCAAUUAUGUCUUGUUUUCGUUAACUGUUUUGUAAUAAAUUGGACUUUUAAAUUUUUUAAAUUGAAUCGUUUCAUAUUGUAAAUGUUCUUGUCAGGAUUGUCAAGACCAAUUAUUGCCAUAAUACAUGGUAUAGGUUUCAUAGGCGGAUCCCAGGGGCCCUAGUUUUUAGUGGCUUUGAACUAGCUGUACGUAACUUUAAGUACUCUCAGAUCAGUACUUAGUAUCUUUUUUUUUGGAUAUUCAAGUACCCCAACCACGUCUACUCUGUUUUUGCUACCGGUAGUUGUAUUUUUUUUGUAUCCAUCUGAUGAGUUUAGCAAUUUUUUAACAGAUUUCUAUAGUUCAUUCUUUUGUGUACUGUUACACAACUGUCCUAUGUUUAGGGGGAGGGGAAUUCCUGCUAUGUGUUUAACCCCACCACAUUCUGUAUGUAUGUGCCUUUCCAGAGUCAGGAGCCUUUAAUUCAGUGAUUUGAAAUGUUUUACAUUUGUCAUUUUGGGGCAUUUUAUAGUCAGUCUAUUUGGUACAGGUGUUGCUCAUUGUUGAAGGCCAUACAGUGACCUAAAGUUGUUAAUUUCUGUGUCAUUUGGUCUCUUGUGGAGAGUUGUCUCAUUGCAUAUCAUACUUAUACAGCUUAUGGCUAUUCCUGGCUGACCCAAGAAUCUGUCUCGCAUGAACUAUUGGUAUCAUACAACAAUCACUUUUCCAUUGUGGUGUCAGAUGUUUUGUAUUAUGACUUCAAAACUUUACGGGAACCUCUGUGAUGUCCACAAAUAGUGAUAAGGUGUAUAUUGGUAAUUGUAAUAAGUUCUGUAAAUU